GUGAGGAAUAUUGGGCAAUGGGCGAGAGCCUGACCCAGCAACGCCGCGUGGAGGAAGACGGCCUUCGGGUUGUAAACUCCUUUUGACAGGGAAGAGAGAGGACGGUACCUGUCGAAUAAGUCACGGCUAACUACGUGCCAGCAGCCGCGGUAAUACGUAGGUGACAAGCGUUAUCCGGAAUUACUGGGCGUAAAGCGCACGCAGGCGGCUGCUUAAGUCUGACGUGAAAUCUCCUGGCUUAACUGGGAGGGGUCGUUGGAAACUGGGUGGCUUGAGGUGGUGAGAGGGGUGCAGAAUUCCCGGUGUAGUGGUGGAAUGCGUAGAUAUCGGGAGGAAUACCAGUGGCGAAAGCGGCACCCUGGCACUGACCUGACGCUCAUGUGCGAAAGCGUGGGGAGCAAACGGGAUUAGAUACCCCUGUAGUCC
rnacentral:rRNA from 1 species